GGCGCCAAGGCACGGAGUUGACGUCAACGGAGUCCGUGUUAGGGGCCCCCAAGCAGAGUCUGGAAAAGGGGGAUGGGAUGUGGGUGUGAAGGGAUGCAGCCCCCCCAAAAGAAAUCGGGGUGAAUCAGAAAUACCUACUAAUGAUGCCCCAAUGCAAAACCUGAGAAGAGAGAGGGGAAAAGGACAAGCAUAUAUUUGUCUAAAAUCGGGAAAAAGGAAAAACCAUGAAAAAUCGAGGCAGAAACACAUACGUUGAGGUCUAACCACGAACGAUAAAGGUGGAAGAAAGGACUUUUCUGCCUGCAACACCCAAGUACUAAGCUAAUUUCCUUAAUAAACGAAGAGCUAUUGGAAACCAGCAAGGGAAAGACAAAAGCAAACCAAAAAGGGGCAAAAGAGACUGCAAGUCACAGGACAAUACAAAUGGCUGGAAGAAUCAUGACCUGACUGUCUGCAUAGCGAAACGCCAACCUGAGAUACUGGGUGAAGGCGGUUUAUGGCAGCGCGCUGAAUCGCAUGUGGUCACCCACCAUUGCAUGAAUCCACUGCAUAGAAUAGCAAGAGAUUGCAAGGGGAGUAAGCGGGUAGAUUACCAAGCCCGCCUGUGAUAGAAGACAUCCCUGUCACCAGGAAAAAUAACGGGGGUAUCGCUGCCAUAAAGGACCUGAAUCGUAAUAGAUCCAGUGAAAUAAAGCCCGCUGCUGAAGUUUGUAGAAACGAAAUGUGUACAGUGCCAUUUUCCUGAGGCUAUAUGACCUGUGACACCAUAACAGGCUGAAGGCUCAAGCAGAUGAGAAUUCCAACUGCUCCCUAUCAAGUCUGACACCGAUGACAUUUGCAGAGAUGUAAAACGAUGCUACCAGGUAGCCACAUCUGCUGUGUGUCCAUGAUUGCAUGCCAUGUCCAGAAGACGGUGUUUCAUGUCGCACCUUCCCAUCCUGCCAUCAGCCCUACGUCCUACACAGUAACUCAGCUGUUUCCUGUACAGGUCUCUCCCAUGCCCCUUCAUCUCCAUAUCUCCAUGGCUGUACCUGUGUUCCUGGUCACCCCGUGUCUCCCUCACUCCCCGACCCACGUGGCCUCUGAUCAACUCAGCAUUUGCAGCCACAGGGAUCUUCUCAAGAGGAAAAUUGGAGGGCAUCACCUCCUCGCUCGAAACUGGCCAGUGCCCAUUAGGCUGAAGACCUCAGCAUUCGCCUGACCAUCUAUACUGAGGAUUGAACCCAGGGCCUUGUGCAUGCUAGGAUAUUGCCAAACAUUCCAGGUUUUAUCACACUUUCAUGGAGUUCCAGAAACCUCUGGGCUGGUCCAUGGACUUCCGUGCAAAAUCUUUUAUUAGCAAGAACCUACUACCCCCACACCUGACAUAUCUGAUCACCUUCCUUAUCCUACCCAGUGACGUCUCAACUCCCUGCCCUGUGUCCAGCAAGACUGCUGGGUCAGAGUGGAGAGAAUUCAGCUCAUCCUUAUGUUUCCAUGGGAACCUUUCCUUCCCAUGGACCUGAUCCUGAUUCUUGCCGAUAGACAACAGCUUGCCCACACUGUGUUUGGAAUUAGACUGUAUCUUCACCCCUUAAUCUUCAUAGGAAAACCCAAGGCUGGUGACAUGGCUCAGCUGGGUAAGGGUGAUGGUGGCCAAGCAUGAUGACUUGAAUUUGGUCCCUGAUACUGGGCAUUCUUUCCGUCACGGGAAGGAGAGGGCUGACUCCUGCAAGUUGUCUUUUGAUCUCCACAAGUGCACAUCCCCCUUCCUGCAAAAUAAAUAACCUAAUGUAAUUUAAGAAGAUGAAGACGAAAAAACACUGUCAAGGUCCUUAUAUCUAUCGAGACAGUCCUCAAUAAAAUUUUUCUUACACAGUCCGUC
rnacentral:sRNA from 1 species